AUGCUGCGCUCCACUACGGCCACCUGCUGCGAUCGUGUGCCCAAAAAGAAAAGCAGAGGCCGGCUGCCCACGCUGGCUAAAAGAAAAAAGUCAAGGGAGUCGGCUGCUCAGCAAAAAAAAAAGGAGAAACAUGCGCGCCCGCCUGCCGACGGCCGGCGGAAGAAAGAACAAAAAGGGCGCUGCCAGAUGCCUCAUCGCCUGGCCGUUGUCCAGCCGGCUCGCCCGCGUCACGCUCAUCUCCUGGCCAGUCAAGCUCGACCGGCUGGACCCUCCUCGAGCGCCCAGAGGCUCGGGGGCUAUACCCAAUGGGUGCGCUGA
rnacentral:rRNA from 1 species